GGAUCCUACUAAACUGUUAGACGGAUAGCUUGGCUUAAAUAGCGAUGAAGGACGUGGCAAGUUGCGAAAAGCUCUGGCGAGUUGCAUGCAAACAUUGAACCAGAGAUCUCCUAAUGUGAAACACAAUUUAUUCCGAGAGGAAUGUCUACGCCGGGAAUUGAAACAUCUUAGUACCGGUAGGAAAAGAAAAUAAAUAAUGAUUCCCCUAUUAGCAGCGAGCGAAAAGGGAAUAGGGCAAACCGAAUCUUUAUUCGAAAGGAUGUAAGAGAUGUGGUGGAGAUUAAGACUAAGUCAACGAAUCAAAGUUUUCUGGAAAGGAAUACCUUAGAGGGUGAUAGUCCCGUAGAUGAAGUUGAUAUGUUAUACUCCAAAAGAGUAGAGCUUCCCGGAUUGGAAGUUCGAAUAUGGCAGAAUUAACUGCUAACCCUAAAUAUUAAUUUAAGUCCGAUAGCGUACGAGUACCGCGAGGGAAAGCUGAAAAGUACUCUCACCAGAGGGUUAAAAGACUUGAAAUCUAACAGUUACAAGAUUGUUACUGCCCUAAGGGGUUGUAACGUACGUUUGGGAAAACGGACCAGGGAGUUUAUUUUUGUGGCGAGGUUAACUGAAUGAAGCCGAAGCGAAAGCGAGUGUGAAAGCGCGUUAGUCACUGAUUUAAGACCUGAAGCCAGAUGAUCUAUUCCUGAGCAGGAUGAAGUUUUUCGAAAGAGAAAUGGAGGUCCGAACCGGUGUUGUGUACAUGCACUUGGAUGACUUGGGAUUAGGGGUGAAAAGCCACUCUAAUCUGGCGAUGGCUGGUUCCUGUUGAAAUAUGCACGGGUAUAGCCUUGUAUUGCUUGUUGAAGAGGUAUAGUACGGAUAGGUCCUGCAGAGACACAUGUCUACGGGGAGCUUUCCAACUCAGAAUUUUUCAACUGCUGAAUACAAGAAAUAGCUGUGGUAUGUAAGAUACUUCAGCGAAACCUGAACAAAGGAGACCGGAGUUAAGGUCCCAAAGUGUUUGCUAAGUGUAUCAAACAGGGUUUUUAUCCUGAGACAGUGGGGAUGUAGGUCUAGAAGCCGCCAUCAUUUAAAGAAAGCGUAACAGCUCACCCAUUGAGGAUAAGAGCAUGGAAGAUGGACGGGGCUAAAGCAAACCACCGAUACUCUGGGGGCACUCUGUAUAGAGUGUGCCGGUAAACAGGCGUUCUAUUUGCACAGAAGUUUUUUCGUAAGAAAGGAUGGAGCAGAUAGUAUUGAAAAUCCUGGUGACAGUAGGAUCUGAUCUCUUUGAGAAAGAAGAGAUGUCGAACGGGCAAGGUUUCCUUGGCACUAACAAUUAACCAAGGGUUAGUCGGUACCUAAGUCAUAUCUUAAUUGAGUAUGACGACGGACAGCAGGUUAAUAUUCCUGCACUGAUUAGUUUUGUUAUGCAUAUAAAUAGCUUUAGGAUAAGCAAAAUAUCGAGAGAUAUAGCAAGAAGAAAGAAAUGGAUUGUAAUGAAGAGAAGUUUAAGAAUUCUUGUGUAUUUGUUGACUCCAGGAGUCAGUGAAAAGUUUAUAUGAUAGAAAUUAGUUAGCCGUACCGAGAUCUAGCACUGGUGCCCUAGCUGAGAAGGCUAAGACAUGAAAGACUAAACUAGUUAAGGGAAUUCGGCAUAAAUAGUCCCGUAUCUUCGGUAGAAGGGAUGUCUAUUUUUUUGUAUGAUUCAUUAUAUGGAAAAGUAGAUCUCAGUAACAAGGAUGGCCCGACUGUUUACCAAAAACAUAGCCAAGUGCUAAUCCGAAAGGAUGUGUAUACUUGGUGAAACCUGCCCAGUGGUGGUGUCUAAAUCUCUCUUUCAAGGGAGUGAAAGCCCAUCAAACGGCGGGCGUAACUAUGACGCUCUUAAGGUAGCGUAAUGCCUUGUCUUCUGAAUGGAGACGUGCAUGAAUGGUUUAACGAGGUUGUCACUGUCCCUAACUAGAGUCUUCCGAAACCAUUCACCGGUGUACAGACCGGUAUCACCUAGUGGGAAGCGCAGACCUUGUAGACCUUUACUGCAACCUGUUGUUGUGAUUUUAUUAAAAGUGCUUAGAGUAGGUAGGAGCGUCGAAGUUAAACUCUUGGGUUUAAUGGAGCAAAAGUGUAACACUACCCAUUUUUGAUAAAACCACUCACUUUAUGAGGACAGCAAUUGGCAGGCAGUUUGGCUGGGGCGGCGCCCGGUCGAAAAAGUAUCGAUCGGGCCCAAAGACAAGCUCAUCCAGGUCGGAAAUCUGGAGUAGAGUGUAAGGGCAAAAGCUUGUCUGACUGUUUUCUGAACAGCAAAGAAAGCAGGAGUGAAAGCUGGGCUUAGCGAACUUCCAUAGCUUUUUAAUGGGGCUUGGAAACGACAGAAAAGGUACCUCAAGGAUAAUGGGCUCGUCGCGCCUGAUAGUCCACAUUGACGGCGCGGUUUGGUGCGUCGCUGUCGGCUCUCCCUAUCCCGGUUGUGCAGCAGCAACCAAGGGUGUCGGAGUUCACGCAUUAAAAGGGAUCGUUAGCUGGGUUAAGAACGUCGCGAGACAGUUUGUAUGAUAUCUACUAGGUGUGUUAUUGUCUGAGCGGAACAGUUCUCUAGUACGAGAGGAACGGGAAUUGGGUGCCUCUGGUCUAUCGGUUGUCAUGUGGCAGGCCGAGCAGCUACGCACCAUUUCGAUAAAUGCUGAAAGCAUCUAAGCAUGAAGCGAAUCGCAAAACGAGACAAUUAAGGCCGUCAUAGAAGAUGACGUCGAUAGAGGUGUGGUGUACGCAUGAAGCUUCGGCGACAUGUUCAGCCAGCAUCUACUAAAAGCCUCAAAUAUCCACACUA
rnacentral:rRNA from 1 species